UACGUAGGGUGCGAGCGUUGUCCGGAAUUAUUGGGCGUAGAGAGCUCGUAGGCGGUGUGUCGCGUCGGCCGUGAAAACCUGCAGCUUAACUGUGGGCGUGCGGUCGAUACGGGCAUCACUGGAGUUCGGCAGGGGAGACUGGAAUUCCUGGUGUAGCGGUGAAAUGCGCAGAUAUCAGGAGGAACACCGGUGGCGAAGGCGGGUCUCUGGGCCGAUACUGACGCUGAGACGCGAAAGCGUGGGGAGCAAACAGG
rnacentral:rRNA from 1 species